rnacentral:lncRNA from 10 species
AUGAAGAAAAUGAGGCAGGGAGAGGAGCAGACUGAUUCUCAAUGCUGUGCUCCCCUCCUCAGGGAAGAGCUGGGGAACCCAUGUGGGGAUAGGAAAGAGACGGAGUCUUACUGUAGCACCCAGGCUGGAGUGCAGGAGCACGACCUCGGCUUACUGCAACCUCGACCUCCUGGACUCAAGUGAUUCUCCUGCCUCAGCCUCCCAAGUUGCUGGGAUUACAGGCUCACGUCACCACACCUGGUCCCCCUAUGUUAUUGGGGACAGAAUUGUGCCCAGACAAGAAAAUGAUGUUUCCCAGCCUCCCCUGCAGCUGAGUGGGGACAACCAUUGAGAUGCCGUUGCAGGGCUCCGCUUUGGAGCGGGCAUUGGAGGAAUUCUUUGACCACCAAGCAGCCUCCAUACCUCCCUCCUACAUAACAGAGCCACCGAGAGGCUGUUUGCAUUCUGCCUGCUUUCUCUUUUUCCGUUGCAGUAGUUUAUUAAUUAGUGUGCAAAAAAUAAAAAGGAGGUAAUAACCUUAUUUAUGUGCUAGU